AAGAAAGAGUAUUUCCUUCCUUCCUUCUCCCUUUCUUUUUCUGUCAGAUGAAUACGCAUCUGUCAUCCUCCCAUUCCUCUCUGCCACGAAAAAUAUGAAUUUAAUUUAAUUGGAACUGAAAUUGAAACCAAGACUUUCACGCAAUCACAAACCCUUAGAAAAAGCUGCCAGAACUGCUCCCACUGUGCAAACUACAGGUUCUAUAUGACAGACAUUUCAGUUCUUUCACCCUGUACUGAAUUAAGGUGCGGCUAAGGACUUUGGUCAUGAGAUGUGGCAUUGUUCCAACCUGAAAGACGGGGGGAAGGAAGGAGGGAGAAAGGUUACUCCCAGCUGUCC
ensembl:lncRNA